UACGAAGGGGGCUAGCGUUGCUCGGAAUUACUGGGCGUAAAGGGAGCGUAGGCGGACAUUUAAGUCAGGGGUGAAAUCCCGGGGCUCAACCUCGGAAUUGCCUUUGAUACUGGGUGUCUUGAGUAUGAGAGAGGUGUGUGGAACUCCGAGUGUAGAGGUGAAAUUCGUAGAUAUUCGGAAGAACACCAGUGGCGAAGGCGACACACUGGCUCAUUACUGACGCUGAGGCUCGAAAGCGUGGGGAGCAAACAGGGAUUAGAUACCCUGGUAGUCCACGCCGUAAACGAUGAUUGCUAGUUGUCGGGAUGCAUGCAUUUCGGUGACGCAGCUAACGCAUUAAGCAAUCCGCCUGGGGAGUACGGUCGCAAGAUUAAAACUCAA
rnacentral:rRNA from 1 species